AUAUUUCCCACACGUAUGAGGGAGUGAGUGAGUUGAGAUUGUAAGUCACAUCGGCAAUAUUGCAGCCAUAUCGUGACUAUUUACAAGUUAUAAUGUCAUAACAGAUCAUUAUAAAAACCUGUCGGCGAAGGACAGUUAAAAUA